AGGACGAACGCUGGCGGCGUGCUUAACACAUGCAAGUCGAGCGGUAAGGCCUUUCGGGGUACACGAGCGGCGAACGGGUGAGUAACACGUGGGUGAUCUGCCCUGCACUUCGGGAUAAGCCUGGGAAACUGGGUCUAAUACCGGAUAUGACCUCCGAUCGCAUGGUUGGUGGUGGAAAGAUUUAUCGGUGCAGGAUGGGCCCGCGGCCUAUCAGCUUGUUGGGUGGGUAAUCGGCCUACCAAGGCGACGACGGGUAGCCGACCUGAGAGGGUCGACCGGCCACGACGUGGGACUGACGACCACCGGCCCAGACCUCCGUACGGGGAGGCAGCAGGUAGGGAAUAGUUGCAACCAAGUCGGGACGAAACGCUGAUGCACGCGACGCCGCGGUAGGACGGAGUCGGACGGUCCGUUUACGGGUUAC
rnacentral:rRNA from 1 species